GAAAGAGUCUGUGGUGUGUGCAGAACCACUCUGCUAAUAGAAAGGUUAACUUGUAUUUUUGAAUUAUUGAUGAUUGCUUGUUACUAAUUUUUUUUCUCAGAAAGGAGGAAAUUAUUAAUGAAGAGAUCAUUGCCAAUGUGUCUGACAUCUAUUAAUGGUUUCAUCUUGAAACCAGAUUAAAAGAGACAGCUGGUCCAUGAAUUUGUGCGUGGAGACAGCCCCAAAUGCGCUGACAAGCCUGUGGGAGGGCGGGGCCGCCAGGCACGGGGCCUGGGCAUUGGCACAGGUGGCUGGUGAGAGGUCCCCUCCCGGCUGGCAUGGCCUGGUCCAAGGGCCGUCAAAGGCUUUGCUGCAGAGGGACCAGGCAGCGGAUGGGCCAUCACUCUCCUGACAUCUUUUCAACUCUUCUGUUGCCCUGGGAGCCCACUGACACCUUUCUCUGCCAGUCACUUACUGGCAUUUUCUCCAUGGCUGUUUUAGAUCUGUGAUUUUCAACAUGAGCUUGCAUCUUCUAAACAUGCUCACCUGGGAGCAUCACCUGGGAGACUGGUAAAAACACAUUCUUGGGUGAUACUGAUGCCGCCAGUCCAAGGACCACAUUUUGAGAACCAGUUUUUACCAAUGAUUGUCAGCUUGCACUGUGACACUGCUCUGGAGAAGGGGCUGGCAACUUCUGUAAAGGGCAAGGACAGUAAAUAUUUUCAGUGAAAGGGGCCAAAUAAUCUCUGUCACAGUUACUCAAUUCUGCCUCUGCAGUGUCCAGAGCAGCCAAGGGCAAUUGUAAACAAAUAUGCAGGACUGUGUUUCAAUAAAACUUUAUUUAUAAAAACAGGAGGUGGGCUAGAUUCUGGCUUAUGUGAAUAAUGUUUUUAUGGCAGAAAUAUUAAUAAACACUAGUGCUGCUGUUACUGAACCAAAUUUGGGUCUGCUUUCCCACGUGCAGGCAAGCCAAUCUACUUACACUGGGUUCUGGUGAAGGAAAGUGCAGUGUUUACUGCAGGGAACCAAGUAAGGAGUUAGUGUUUUAAAGGGCAGCUAGUGUUUUAAAGGCCCAAACUCCCUGAAGGCUCUCAGGAGAAGGUUUUUAAAGACAGGAUAAGGGAGGGGGAUUCUGGGGUGUGUGAUCAGCUCGUGGACAUCCUUCUGAUCAGUUGUCAAUGUCAUCAGGAGUCAAUGUCAUCAACCUUCUGGUUCCGACCCGACUGGGGCUACGUGCUUGUGGGCGGCACAGAGUUAACUUCUUCCUCCUGGUGGGGGUUUCAGUCUCUGC
ensembl:lncRNA